rnacentral:rRNA from 1 species
CCUACGGGCGGCAGCAGUAGGGAAUCUUUCACAAUGGGCGAAAGCCUGAUGGAGCAACGCCGCGUGCAGGAUGAAGGCCUUCGGGUUGUAAACUGCUUUUAUAAGCGAGAAAUAUGAUGGUAACUUAUGAAUAAGGAUCGGCUAACUACGUGCCAGCAGCCGCGGUCAUACGUAGGAGCCGAGCAUUAUCCGGAGUGACUGGGUGUAACGUGGUGCGUAGUUGGUAGAAUAAGUAGCUUGUGAAAUCUGGGGGCUCAACAAUUCAGACUAUUAGCUAAACUGUUAAGCUCGAGACCGUUAGGGGUAACUGGAAGUUCAAGUGUAGGAGUGAAAUGCGUAGAUAUAAGAAGGAACACCAAUGGCGUAGGCAGGUUGCUGGGACGGUUCUGACACUAAGGCACGAAAGCGUAGGGAGCAAACGGGAUUAGAUACCCGAGUAGUC